rnacentral:rRNA from 1 species
GGAUUCCCUCAGUAGCGGCGAGCGAAGCGGGAUUAGACCAAGAUGAAAAUCUCCUUUGGAGAGUUGUAGUCUGGAUCACUUUGAGUAUUCAGUAAACGUAAGUCACAUGGAAUUGUGUACCGUGGAGGGUGAGAGUCCCGUCCAGCGUUUACAGGAAUUUCUCGUACGAAGUGAUUUCGAUCGAGUCGGGUAGCUUGAGAACGCUGCUCUAAUAGGUGGUAAACUUCAUCUAAGUCUAAAUACUGGUGGGAGACCGAUAGCGAACAAGUACCGUGAGGGAAAGAUGGAAAGCACUUUGAAAAGAGGGUGAAAAGCACCUGAAACCGCCACGGGGGAAGCGGAUUGCAUCAGUGGAUGUUAGUUACUGUUCAGCUACUUUGGUAGUGUAUUCAGUGCUGGCUUUGUUGGCAUGGCUGUUUGACUUGGGAUUUUGCUAAGUUGAGUGGUGAGGGCUCCCCUUUGGGUUGAGGAUGUCAACCAAAUGAUGCGACCCGACCCGUCUUGAAACACGGACCAAGGAGUUUAGCACUACUGCGAGUCGAAGGGAUUGACAACCCCAGAGGCAAAGUGAAAGCAAAGACUUGGAAAUUGAUGGUAAAACAGCAUAUUAGGGGGGUGUUGCGACAUUGUCAAAACAUCUCACCCAGAGCAGUAGUGCUGAGACCCGAAAGAUGGUGAACUAUGCCGGAAUAGGGCGAAGCCAGAGGAAACUCUGGUGGAGGCUCGUAGCGAUGCUGACGUGCAAAUCGCUCGUCGAAUUUGGGUAUAGGGGCGAAAGACUAAUCGAACCAUCUAGUAGCUGGUUCCCUCCGAAGUUUCUCUCAGGAUAGCGGGCCGACGAUAUGUUGUUUUGUGUGGUAAAGCCAAUGAUUAGCGUAUUUGGGGAAGUAAUUUCUUCGGUCGAUUCUCAAACUUUAAAUACGCAAGAGGGGAGCAUUUGCUCAAGAGAAACGCCCUCUAGAAAACGUCGGCCCUGUGGGCCACUUUUGGUAAGCAGAACUGGCGAUAUGGGAUGAACCAUAAGUAUGGUUAAGGCGUCAAAUUGAUCGCUUAAAGGUCCCACAAAAGGUGUUGGUUCAUCUAGACAGCAGGACGGUGGCCAUGAAGUCGAAUCCGCAAGGAGAGGCCCGGGGCCAUGGAAGUCGGAAUCCGCUAAGGAGUGUGUAACAACUCACCUGCCGAAUGAACUAGCCCUGAAAAUGGAUGACACUGAAGCGUUCAGCCGACACCAUGCCCUUUUGAUAAAGUGCAGAUAUCAAAAUGAGUAGGAGGGCGUGGUGACCUAGUUGAGAAGGCUCAGACGCAAGUCUAGCUGAAACGGUCACUAGUGCAGAUCUUGGUGGUAGUAGCAAAUAUUCAAACGAGAUCCUUGAAGGGCGAAGCGAGGAAGGGUUUCACGCGAACAUUGAUUGGGCGUGAGUGAGUCGUUCCUAAGCCGGGUGGUAAUCGUUCUUACGAUCGGCGAAAGGGAAGCAGGUUAAAAUUCCUGCACACGGAUGUGAAAGUGGUGACACUCAUUGAGGUGGAGACGUUUGUGGUGGCGCUGGGCAGAGUUUUCUUUUCUGUUUAACCUGUUCGUGUACUCUGUGGAAUCCGAUUAUCGGGAGAAACAGGUGCCUAUGGGCAGAGCGUCGGGGCAUCCCCGGCGUCCAGAACGCCGCCAUGAGCCCUUGAAAAUCUAUCUGCAAUGAUUUCACGCCGUGGCGUACCGAUAACCGCAUCAGGUCCUCAAGGUGAACAGCCUCUGUCCAAUAUGAACAAUGCAGGUAAGGGAAGUCGGCAAAAUAGACCCGUAACUUUGGGACAAGGGUUGGCUCUAGUGGAGUGGAGGAUUUUUUGGUGUUCGUGGGGCUCUCGUCUCGAUGCACGUAGACGGCUGGAGAUGUCGCAAGACGUCUUCUUGGUUGUCAUGCGUGAAGGGACGAAGGCGUUGCGGGCACCGCCUUCAGCAUACUCCAGACUAGAACUGUAACGGGCAAAGGGAAUCCGACUGUUUAAUUAAAACAAAGCAUUGCGAUGGCCGAGGUCGGUGUAGACGCAAUGUGAUUUCUGUUGCAACGGGCAAAGGGAAUCCGACUGUUUAAUUAAAACAAAGCAUUGCGAUGGCCGAGGUCGGUGUAGACGCAAUGUGAUUUCUGCUCAGUGCUCUGAAUGUCAAAGUGAAGAGAUUCAAACAAGCGCGGGUAAACAGCGGGAGUAACUAUGACUCUCUUAAGGUAGCCAAAUGCCUCGUCAUCUAAUUAGUGACGCGCAUGAAUGGAUUAACGAGAUUCCUACUGUCCCUAUCUGCUUCUAGCGAAACCACAGCCGGGGGAACGGGCCCGGCAAAAUCGGCGGGGAAAGAAGACCCUGUUGAGCUUGACUCUAUUCAAAUUUUGUGACGCAAGUUAGGAGGUGUAGCAUAGGUGGGAGACUUCGGUCGACAAUGAAAUACCACUACUCUUAAUCUUGUUUUACUUACGGCGUAAGACUGCACGACCAAUAUGGUCUAUUUUAGCAUCAAAACAGAUACAUCAGCCACUUCGGUGGUCAAUCAGUUGAGCAGCGCGCCAGACAUAUUUUGGAGGGGAGUUUGGCUGGGGCGGCACAUCUUCUACAAGACAACGAAGGUGUCCAAAGAUAAGCUCAGAGUGAACAGAAAUCACUCGUAGCGCAAAAGGGUAAAAGCUUGUUUGAUUUUGAUUUUCAGUGUGAGUUGAAAACACGAAAGUGUGGCCUAUCGAUCCUUUUACGAUUCGAGGUUUGAAGCAAGA